rnacentral:rRNA from 1 species
GACGAACGCUGGCGGCGUGCUUAACACAUGCAAGUCGAACGGAAAGGCCCUGCUUGCAGGGUACUCGAGUGGCGAACGGGUGAGUAACACGUGGGUGAUCUGCCCUGCACUUCGGGAUAAGCCUGGGAAACUGGGUCUAAUACCGGAUAGGAGCCAUUUUUAGUGUGAUGGUUGGAAAGUUUUUUCGGUGUAGGAUGAGCUCGCGGCCUAUCAGCUUGUUGGUGGGGUAAUGGCCUACCAAGGCGGCGACGGGUAGCCGGCCUGAGAGGGUGGACGGCCACAAUGAGGCUGAGAGACGGACCAGACUCGUACUGGGGGCAGCAGGGGGGAAGAUUGCACGAUGGGCGCAGGCCUGAUGCUGCGACGCCGCGUGGGGGAUGACGGCGUUCGGGUUGAAGACUCAUUUCGCUAGGGACGAAGCUUUUUGUGACGGUACCUAGAUAAAAAGCACCGGCUAACUACGUG